UUUAAGGACCUACAUCUUGAAGUGUGAGUGCUUGCAGUCAGAGCCCUGUGUUGCCUGAUGGGUCAUGAAUUAGCUUCCCUUACAAAUUGAACAAAGAUUUGCCACAGAGAAAUAUUGUCCAGUCUAGAGAGCUAGAAAUCUGUUACUACUGUCUUGCAAACUGAAGCAUCACAAGGAAGAAUUUCAACUUCUGACUGGGUUGUGAACCAAAUCCAUUCACCUGACCCCAACCAGGGUCAGAGGUACAUACCCAUUAGCUUCCUGUCCUGGCUUUAGAGUCUCGGAAGCUCUGUACAGCAGUUCUCCUGUGUCCUAUCUGCAGCUUAUACGUCUAAUUCUACUUGAUGCCUGCAGAUUGUGCAUCACCAGCAGCAUAGCGAAAGGAGGAAGAAGUGCCUUGAUUUGGAUAUUAUUGUUUUUGGGAGAUCCUCAUGAGAGAUUGCAAUUUGUGAACAUAAUUGGAGCUGAUCCAGAUGGGACAAACAUAGAGCAUCCCAGUUGCCCGCAGUGUCCUAAGGACCAAAGAAAAUGGCCAAGGCUCAGGAAUCACUGACAUUCAACGAUGUGGCUGUAAAGUUCAC